rnacentral:rRNA from 1 species
GUCGAGCGAGAACGUUACUUCUGUAACUAGUAAAGCGGCGGACGGGUGAGUAACGCGUAGGAAUCUACCUUUCAGUGGGGGAUAGCUCGGGGAAACCCGAAUUAAUACCGCAUAUACCCUAAGGGGGAAAGAGGGCCUAUCCUUGGAAGCUCUCGCUGUUAGAUGAGCCUGCGUGAGAUUAGUUUGUUGGUGGGGUAAUGGCCUACCAAGACUACGAUCUCUAGCUGGUCUGAGAGGACGAUCAGCCACACUGGGACUGAGACACGGCCCAGACUCCUACGGGAGGCAGCAGUAGGGAAUAUUGGACAAUGGGGGAAACCCUGAUCCAGCUAUGCCGCGUGUGUGAAGAAGGCUCUAGGGUUGUAAAGCACUUUAGGUAAGGACGAAAAGAAUAUAGUUAAUACCUGUAUUCCGUGACUUAACUUACAGAAUAAGGACCGGCUAACUCCGUGCCAGCAGCCGCGGUAAUACGGAGGGUCCAAGCGUUAAUCGGAAUUACUGGGCGUAAAGCGCGCGUAGGCGGUUUGUCAAGUUGGAUGUGAAAUCCCUGGGCUCAACCUAGGAACUGCAUUCAAAACUUAUAGACUAGAGUACGAUAGAGGAGAGUAGAAUUCC